rnacentral:rRNA from 1 species
AACGAACGCUGGCGGCACGCCUAACACAUGCAAGUCGAACGAAGCUAAGCAGCUUGCUGCUUAGACUGAGUGGCGCACGGGUGAGUAACAUGUGGGAAUUUGCCUAUCGGUGGGGAAUAACCUUUGGAAACGAAGGAUAAUACCGCAUACGCCCUUCGGGGAAAGAUUUAUCGCCGAUAGAUAAGCCCGCACUAGAUUAGCUUGUUGGUGAGGUAAUGGCUCACCAAGGCAAUGAUCUAUAGCUGGUCUGAGAGGAUGGUCAGCCACACUGGGACUGAGACACGGCCCAGACUCCUACGGGAGGCAGCAGUGGGGAAUAUUGGACAAUGGGGGAAACCCUGAUCCAGCGAUGCCGCGUGAGUGAAGAAGGCCUUCGGGUUGUAAAGCUCUUUCAAGAGGGAAGAUAAUGACGGUACCUCUAUAAGAAGCACCGGCUAACUUCGUGCCAGCCGCCGCCGUAA